rnacentral:lncRNA from 1 species
AUGGACGCGGGACGCGUCCUCCACGGGCAGAGCUCAUGCAACCGCGGUGUGCUUCGCUUCUCCACGCCACGCCACGCGCGCGCCUCUUGCCGCCUCUGCCACGGGGUUUCCACGACGAUCAUCACCGGCGACGAAGGCCGCGGGGGAAGCUGUCGCGACGCGUUCCGGGACCGGUUCAAGGUUCUUAAGAACCACGCCAUGCAGGAGGACAUAAAUCCAUGUUUUUUCUAUGCUGUAACUGGUUACUUCGAUUAUCGUGCAGAGAACAGACCCCGUCAUAAAGAAAGUGCAGCAAGUUCAAUCCUAGGAGAGAUUCCAAAACCAUUAAGAUACACACAUCUUGUAGGGGGGCAACAAGAUAGAGAUUCUUUGAAGAGACAGACAGCAGAUUGUAGCAUGAGUCUUGGUGAAUCAUCUAGUAUUCCAAAGAUAGCAAGAUCAAUCCUAGGAGAGAUUCCAAAACCAUUGCGAUACACACAUCAGUAUAACCGGGCUGACUUGGCAGUAGUGUAUGAGGAAGCAAUCUUUUUUGUGCUUCAGGCAUAUAAUGAGGAGGUUAUCCAUCUGUCCAUGAGGUAUGACAUGUUAUGGACCUGUUCUGCUGGCAAUCAUGCUCUUGACGAUGCAUUUCGACUUGCCCACCAGAUAUGUGCCCAAAAGAAUUGCAAAUGCCCAAUUAUACUCUUUUUGAAAAUUAUGAUUCUAAAAUUAGGAUUUACAGUGGAGAAGAAGGCUGGUUCAAGCUGCUCUCCUGCUAUGAAUUCAAAAGGAGAGGAAGAUUCUUCAAAGUUGGAGGAACCAAAAGCAUCCAAGACUCCUGAGUACAGAAGUUCAUUGAUUGUUCCUAAUGUGCUGAAUGAAACACAAACUCUACCAGUGGAGAAGAAGGCUGGUUCAAGCUGCUCUCAUGCGCUGAACUCAAAAGGAAAGGAAGAAUCCUCAGGACGUUUGGGAAAAGAGCCACAAGCAUCAAGGGCUAAUAAUCCG